rnacentral:rRNA from 1 species
GGACUACCGGGGUUUCUAAUCCCGUUCGCUACCCUGGCCUUCGUGUUUCAGCGUCAGUUUCUGCCCAGAGUCUCGCUUUCGCAACAAGUGUUCCUCUCGAUAUCUACGCAUUUCACUGCUACACCGAGAAUUCCAGACUCCUCUACAGACCUCCAGCAUGACAGUAUCGGAUGCUAUUCGGAGGUUGAGCCCCCGGAUUUCACAUCUGACUUUUCACGCCGCCUACACACCCUUUACGCCCAGUGAUUCCGAACAACGCUUGAGACCUCUGUAUUACCGCGGCUGCUGGCAC